rnacentral:rRNA from 1 species
CCUACGGGAGGCAGCAGUAGGGAAUCUUCCGCAAUGGACGAAAGUCUGACGGAGCAACGCCGCGUGAACGAUGAAGGCCUUCGGGUCGUAAAGUUCUGUUGUUAGGGAAGAACAAGUGCUAGUUAAAUAAGCUGGCACCUUGACGGUACCUAACCAGAAAGCCACGGCUAACUACGUGCCAGCAGCCGCGGUAAUACGUAGGUGGCAAGCGUUGUCCGGAAUUAUUGGGCGUAAAGCGCGCGCAGGCGGUUUCUUAAGUCUGAUGUGAAAGCCCCCGGCUCAACCGGGGAGGGUCAUUGGAAACUGGGAAACUUGAGUGCAGAAGAGGAAAGUGGAAUUCCAAGUGUAGCGGUGAAAUGCGUAGAGAUUUGGAGGAACACCAGUGGCGAAGGCGACUUUCUGGUCUGUAACUGACGCUGAGGCGCGAAAGCGUGGGGAGCAAACAGGAUUAGAUACCCUGGUAGUCCACGCUGUAAACGAUGAGUGCUAAGUGUUAGAGGGUUUCCGCCCUUUAGUGCUGAAGUUAACGCAUUAAGCACUCCGCCUGGGGAUACGGUCGCAAGACUGAAACUUAANGAAUUGACGG